ACCUGCGGAAGGAUCAUUGUCGUGACCCUGACCAAAACAGACCGUGAACAUGUCAUCCAUGCUAUCGGGUGAUGGGACUUGCUCCCAUCUCCCGGUCUAGGCCACCGACCUUCAUCCAGAGGGACGAGGGCCAAAAAGAACCCACGGCGCCUUAUGGCGUCAAGGAAAACUAAUAUUGUCUUGCUCGGGGACACGUCUGGCUUGCCGGACGCAACCCGUGAAGCGAUGCUAUGUAAUUUCACAUGACUCUCGGCAACGGAUAUCUCGGCUCUCGCAUCGAUGAAGAACGUAGCAAAAUGCGAUACCUGGUGUGAAUUGCAGAAUCCCGUGAACCAUUGAGUUUUUGAACGCAAGUUGCGCCCGAGGCCUUCUGGCCGAGGGCACGUCUGCCUGGGCGUCACGCCAAAAGACACUCCACACCCAUCCCGGUGUGGACGUGGUGUUUGGCCCCUCAUGCCGCACGGUGUGGUGGGCCAAAGAUGGGUCUGCCGGUGGCGCCGAUCACAGCACAAGGUGGAUGACGCAAGUUGUUCUCGGUGUUACGAUCUGAACCACUCCCGGUGUAGUUAUGGCCCUAUGGACCCAUGGACUGGAGCGCAUGCCGCUCGGACCGCGACCCCAGGUCAGUCGGGACUACCCGCUGAAUUUAAGCAUAUCAAUAAGCCG
rnacentral:rRNA from 1 species